UACCUGGUUGAUCCUGCCAGUAGUCAUAUGCUUGUCUCAAAGAUUAAGCCAUGCAAGUCUAAGUACGAGCUCUCGUACAGUGAAACUGCGAAUGGCUCAUUAAAUCAGUUAUGGUUCAUUUGAUCGUACAGUUUACUUGGAUAACUGUGGUAAUUCUAGAGCUAAUACAUGCGAGAAGCGCCGACCUCGCGGGAGGCGUGCAUUUAUCAGACCAAAAACCGGCCGCGUCUUCGGGCGCGUUCGCCUUGGUGACUCUGGAUAACUUUGCGGAUCGCACGGUCUAGCACCGGCGACGGAUCAUUCAAGUGUCUGCCCUAUCAACUUUCGUCGGUACGGUAUUUGCCUACCGAGGUUCUUACGGGUGACGGGGAAUCAGGGUUCGAUUCCGGAGAGGGAGCCUGAGAAACGGCUACCACAUCCAAGGAAGGCAGCAGGCGCGCAAAUUACCGAAU
rnacentral:ncRNA from 1 species